rnacentral:rRNA from 1 species
GUCGAACGGUGAACACGGAGCUUGCUCUGUGGGAUCAGUGGCGAACGGGUGAGUAACACGUGAGCAACCUGCCCCUGACUCUGGGAUAAGCGCUGGAAACGGCGUCUAAUACUGGAUAUGUGACGUGAUCGCAUGGUCUGCGUCUGGAAAGAAUUUCGGUUGGGGAUGGGCUCGCGGCCUAUCAGCUUGUUGGUGAGGUAAUGGCUCACCAAGGCGUCGACGGGUAGCCGGCCUGAGAGGGUGACCGGCCACACUGGGACUGAGACACGGCCCAGACUCCUACGGGAGGCAGCAGUGGGGAAUAUUGCACAAUGGGCGCAAGCCUGAUGCAGCAACGCCGCGUGAGGGACGACGGCCUUCGGGUUGUAAACCUCUUUUAGCAGGGAAGAAGCGAAAGUGACGGUACCUGCAGAAAAAGCGCCGGCUAACUACGUGCCAGCAGCCGCGGUAAUACGUAGGGCGCAAGCGUUAUCCGGAAUUAUUGGGCGUAAAGAGCUCGUAGGCGGUUUGUCGCGUCUGCUGUGAAAUCCGGAGGCUCAACCUCCGGCCUGCAGUGGGUACGGGCAGACUAGAGUGCGGUAGGGGAGAUUGGAAUUCCUGGUGUAGCGGUGGAAUGCGCAGAUAUCAGGAGGAACACCGAUGGCGAAGGCAGAUCUCUGGGCCGUAACUGACGCUGAGGAGCGAAAGGGUGGGGAGCAAACAGGCUUAGAUACCCUGGUAGUCCACCCCGUAAACGUUGGGGAACUAGUUGUGGGGUCCAU